GCCGUCUUGACCCACAGCUACCAUGCAAGUCGACGAUGAUCCCAGCUUGCUGGGGGAUUAGUGGCGAACGGGUGAGUAACACGUGAGUAACCUGCCCUUGACUCUGGGAUAAGCCUGGGAAACUGGGUCUAAUACCGGAUACGACCAUUCCACGCAUGUGGUGGUGGUGGAAAGCUUUUGUGGUUUUGGAUGGACUCGCGGCCUAUCAGCUUGUUGGUGGGGUAAUGGCCUACCAAGGAGACGACGGGUAGCCGGCCUGAGAGGGUGACCGGCCACACUGGGACCUGAGACACGGCCCAGACUCCUACCGGAGGCAGCAGUGGGGAAUAUUGCACAAUGGGCGCAAGCCUGAUGCAGCGACGCCGCGUGAGGGAUGACGGCCUUCGGGUUGUAAACCUCUUUCAGUAGGGAAGAAGCGAAAGUGACGGUACCUGCAGAAGAAGCGCCGCCUAACUACGUGCCAGCAGCCGCGGUAAUACGUAGGGCGCAAGCGUUAUCCCGAAUAAUUGGGCGUAAAGAAGCUCGUAGGCGGUUUGUCGCGUCUGCUGUGAAAGACCCGGGCUUCAACUCCGGUUCUGCAGUGGGUACCGGCAGACUAGAGUGCAGUAGGGGAGGACUGGAAUCCCUGGUGUAGCGGUGAAAUGCGCCAGAUAUCAGGAGGAACACCGAUGGCGAAGCCAGGUCUCUGGGCUGUAACUGACGCUGAGAAGCGAAAGCCAUGGGAAGCGAACCAGGAUUAGAUACCCUGGUAGUCCAGGCCGUAAACGUUGGCCACUAGGUUGUGGGGGACAUCCCACGUUUUCCGCGCCCGUAGCUAACGCCAUUAAGUGCCCCGCCUGGGGAAUACGGCCGCCAGGGCUUAAAACUCCAAAGAAAUUGACGGGGGCCCGCACCAGCGGCCGGACCAGGCGGAUUAAUUCGGAUGCCACCCGGAGGACCCUUACCACGGCAUGGACAAGGACCCGCUAUACCUUGAAACAGGUGGCCCCCCCUUCGCGUCAGAUUACCAGGUGAGUGCCAUUGGUAUGUCGGUCAACUACGAUGUCAUGAGAAUGCUGGGAUUUAUGAUCCCGCAACGAAGCCCAUACCCUACGUUCUAGGUGCCCACGGGUUGGCCGGGGGAUUCUUGGGGGAUUCCGGGGUUCAAUUGGGAGAAAGGGGGGGAGGAGUUAAAUUCUCCAUCCCCUUAAUUUUUGGGGUUUCAGCCUGGUUCCAAGGGCGGUUCCAAAGGGUUGGGUUAUUGGGAGGGGAAGUUAUUCCCAAAAACCGGUUUCCAUUUGGGAUGGGGUUUUCCACUUGGCCCCCAGAAAUUGGAAUUCGUUAUUAUUGCCGGUUCACCACCGUUCCGGGAAUUCCUUUCCCGGCCUUGUUCCCCCCCCCCGUCCAGGCCAGAAAAUUGGUUACCACCGGAACCCGUUGCCUUAACCUUGGGGGGGAGCCGUCGAAUGUGAUCCCGCAGUUCC
rnacentral:rRNA from 1 species